rnacentral:rRNA from 1 species
AUUGAACGCUGGCGGCAGGCCUAACACAUGCAAGUCGAGCGGAUGAAGGGAGCUUGCUCCUGGAUUCAGCGGCGGACGGGUGAGUAAUGCCUAGGAAUCUGCCUGGUAGUUGGGGAUAACGUCCGGAAACGGGCGCUAAUACCGCAUACGUCCUGAGGGAGAAAGUGGGGGAUCUUCGGACCUCACGCUAUCAGAUGAGCCUAGGUCGGAUUAGCUAGUUGGUGGGGUAAAGGCCUACCAAGGCGACGAUCCGUAACUGGUCUGAGAGGAUGAUCAGUCACAUUGGAACUGAGACACGGUCCAGACUCCUACGGGAGGCAGCAGUGGGGAAUAUUGGACAAUGGGCGAAAGCCUGAUCCAGCCAUGCCGCGUGUGUGAAGAAGGUCUUCGGAUUGUAAAGCACUUUAAGUUGGGAGGAAGGGCAGUAAGUUAAUACCUUGCUGUUUUGACGUUACCAACAGAAUAAGCACCGGCUAACUUCGUG